rnacentral:rRNA from 1 species
AUGGCGGACGACGAGAAGAACAAGCAGCUGGCGGAGUACUCCGGCGCGGCUAAAGUAUUUGCUGCUCCGGCGAGUUCGUCGUACCCACGAUUUGAUCGCGAGAACUUCGGGGUGUGGAAGGCCCUCAUGGAGUGUGGUCUCCGCGCCAACGAGCUAUGGGACGCGGUCGACCCAGGAGGCGACGCCUUCAAGAAGGAGGGAGCCGAGCACCGGAAGGAUCGGCAGGCGGCGUCGGCGAUUUACUCGGUGAUGCCGAUGGAUGUCCUCCAGCACCUAAUCGCCAAAGCAACGGCGAAGGAGGUGUGGGAUACGCUGAAGCUCAUGUUUGAGGGACACACCCGCGUCAAGCAAGCCAAUCUCCAAACUCUCCUAAGGAACUACGAGACUUUGGUCAUGGGCGACGAUGAGUCCGUGGAUGCGUUUGCUUCACGGGUGGCUACUCUCGUCAAUCGGAUCCGCGCGCUUGGAGAAAACCUCACGGAGGCCUCGGUUGUCCGGCGGUUCUUGCGCGCAGCCCCUCCCCGGUACCUGCAAAUUGUCACGGCGAUCGAGCAGUGCGUCGAUCUCGCGACUCUCUCCAUCGACGAUCUUGUCGGACGGUACAAGGCUCACGAUGAGCGGAUGCGGUACAGUCUUGGGGACGGGAGGAACGACGAGCUUGUGAUGCUCACAAAGGCGCAGUGGAUCGCCCUUGAAAAGCAAGGCGGAUCCACGAGCAGCAGCAAGAAGGGAAAGCAGCGCUCGGUGAGAAAGAACUUCGCCGACUCGGACGACGACUCAGACGAUGAGGCUGCACCACCACCGAGGAGAAAGUUUGACAUCAGGAAAGUGAGGUGUUAUAACUGUGGCCUCCUUGGCCACUUCAAGGCUGACUGCGAGGAAGCAUCGAAGCAGAAGGCGCUCAUAGCCCAGCAAGAAGAUGACAGUGACAUGAUGUUGAUGUGCGAACUCGUGGAUACGAAGGAUCCAGUUCUUCAAGCGUCGGCUAAAGAAACAGUCGUGCUCCAUGAAGAAAAAGUUUGCUCUCAAGAUUAUGGUUCGGAAACUCGUGUCGACGCUACGGACAUGGGUGGUGAUUUCGAAGAUCAUGUCGAAGUUACGGGCUUAAGUGCUAACUUCGCUGGAUCAGAUGCAGCGAUCGCUGCAUGUGCACGACCAUGGAGAGGUAGUCUUUGUGUGGUGCGUCCAAGAGAGGUUAGCUGCGACCGAAAGAGCAGUUCAAAAGAUUGCCAGGCGAGGCGAGACGCAGGACGAACUACGCUCGGACCAGGAGAGCAUUGCGCGCACAUGGCGGCAGACACGGCAAGGAGCGGCGUCGUGUACACCGUGUCAGAUAGCGUGGUGAGCGCAGGCAUCGUGUCACACACCGCGUCACUCUCAGCAAGCACGCAUGGCAGCCCAGUUGCUGGCGAUGGUAGUAGCACAACAGCAACCCAAGGCAGGAACACCACGUACAAGACAUGUACAACAGCUCUACCAGGAGGAAAGUCACUACUAUGUGAAAGUCUAAUAUGUGGGCUAGAAAGUGGGCACGGUCCAGAAAGAAAAGAUGGAUCAAAAGUGGAGUCUUCAGAUGGGAGAGAAGCGAGCCAGGGAGCUAGUCUAUCUAGCAGUAUUGUGGACACAGACCUAUGUGACGGGUCAGAAGAGGAGCUGGACCAGGACAGAAGCCAAAACGCGGGUGGUGAUGGGCAAGGCCCAUUGCCUGGUGGCCUGCAUGGGGUUUCGCCUGGUGGCCUGUGUGUGGGCAAGAGCUCAUUUGCAGCUGCGGUGUUGCCGAACAGUCCAGCAGGGACGUCGACAGCGCAUGUGGAGGAAAGGACACCACCUACACCCAAACAUCUACAGCCGGUGUUACACCCAUAUCCGAGGAAUACUCUUCGGACGAUUGACCCGGUAAUGAUGAACAGGAGUGGGCGACGGUGUCUAGCAAGCGUCGAGGAACCGGCGGAAUUUGUGGACGCAAAUACGAAGGAGUGUUGGCGUCAUGCUAUGAAAGAAGAGUUGGGGUCGAUCCAUGACAAUAAUACAUGGGAGCUUGUGGAUCUUUCCAACAAUGAAAAGGCGAUAGAGCUCAAGUGGCAAUUUAAGGUCAGGAAAGAUGUUGAAGGGUGCAUGAAGCACAAAGUGAGGUUUGUGGCCAAAAAGUAUGUGCAAGAGGAAAGUAUGGACUUCGAAGAAGUGUUCGUUCUCAUUGCAAAGAUGGAGUCGGUGAGAUUACUCAUCGCUCUCGCGGCUCAGGAAUCAUGGAAGAUACAUCACAUGGAUGUAAACUCCGCGUUUUUGAACGGCGAGAUAGAAGGAGAUGUGUAUGUGAAUCAACCGCCGGGUUUCAUCAAAGAGGGAGAAGAGCACAAGGUACUGAAGUUACACAAAAUCUUGUAUGGGCUAUGGUAA